UUUACAGAGAAAGCUUUAUGCGCCGAAGGAUGAGCCUGCACUUGAUUAGUUUGUUGGUGGGGUAAUGGCCUACCAAGACUUUGAUCAAUAGCUGAUCUGAGAGGAUGAUCAGCCACAUUGGGACUGAGACACGCCCAAACUUCUACGGGAGCAGCAGUAGGGAAUAUUGCACAAUGGAGGAAACUCUGAUGCCACGAUCCCGCGUGAGUGAAGAAGGCCUUUGGGUUGUAAAGCUCUUUCGUCGGGGAAGAAAAUGACUGUUCCCGAAUAAGA
rnacentral:rRNA from 1 species